rnacentral:rRNA from 1 species
UACGAAGGGGGCUAGCGUUGCUCGGAAUCACUGGGCGUAAAGCGCACGUAGGCGGCUUCUUAAGUCAGGGGCGAAAUCCUGGAGCUCAACUCCAGAACUGCCUUUGAUACUGAGAAGCUUGAGUCCGGGAGAGGUGAGUGGAACUGCGAGUGUAGAGGUGAAAUUCGUAGAUAUUCGCAAGAACACCAGUGGCGAAGGCGGCUCACUGGCCCGGUACUGACGCUGAGGUGCGAAAGCGUGGGGAGCAAACAGG